UACGUAGGGACCAAGCGUUGUUCGGAUUUACUGGGCGUAAAGGGCGCGUAGGCGGCAAUUCAAGUCAUCUGUGAAAUCUCCGGGCUUAACUCGGAACGGCCAAGUGAAACUGUCAAGCUAGAGUGCAGAAGGGGCAAUCGGAAUUCUUGGUGUAGCGGUGAAAUGCGUAGAUAUCAAGAGGAACACCUGAGGUGAAGACGGGUUGCUGGGCUGACACUGACGCUGAGGCGCGAAAGCCAGGGGAGCAAACGGG
rnacentral:rRNA from 1 species